ACGUGAGUAACCUGCCCUUGACUCUGGGAUAAGCCUGGGAAACUGGGUCUAAUACCGGAUACGACCAUCUGGCGCAUGUCAUGGUGGUGGAAAGCUUUUGUGGUUUUGGAUGGACUCGCGGCCUAUCAGCUUGUUGGUGGGGUAAUGGCCUACCAAGGCGACGACGGGUAGCCGGCCUGAGAGGGUGACCGGCCACACUGGGACUGAGACACGGCCCAGACUCCUACGGGAGGCAGCAGUGGGGAAUAUUGCACAAUGGGCGCAAGCCUGAUGCAGCGACGCCGCGUGAGGGAUGACGGCCUUCGGGUUGUAAACCUCUUUCAGUAGGGAAGAAGCGAAAGUGACGGUACCUGCAGAAGAAGCGCCGGCUAACUACGUGCCAGCAGCCGCGGUAAUACGUAGGGCGCAAGCGUUAUCCGGAAUUAUUGGGCGUAAAGAGCUCGUAGGCGGUUUGUCGCGUCUGCUGUGAAAGACCGGGGCUCAACUCCGGUUCUGCAGUGGGUACGGGCAGACUAG
rnacentral:rRNA from 1 species